rnacentral:pre_miRNA from 1 species
GUAAUACUCCCUCCGUCCGGAAUUACGUACGCUCAAACGGAUGUAUGUAACAUUAUUUUAGUGCUAGAUACAUCCAUUUGAGCGUCAAGUAAUUUUGGACGGAGGGAGUACUAG